AGCGAACGCUGGCGGCAGGCCUAACACAUGCAAGUCGAGCGCCGUAGCAAUACGGAGCGGCAGACGGGAGAGUAACACGUGGGAACGUACCCUUUGGUUCGGAACAACCCAGGGAAACUUGGGCUAAUACCGGAUAAGCCCUUACGGGGAAAGAUUCAUCGCCGAAGGAUCGGCCCGCGUCUGAUUAGCUAGUUGGUGGGGUAACGGCCCACCAAGGCGACGAUCAGUAGCUGGUCUGAGAGGAUGAUCAGCCUCACUGGGACUGAGACACGGCCCAGACUCCUACGGGAGGCAGCAGUGGGGAAUAUUGGACAAUGGGCGCAAGCCUGAUCCAGCCAUGCCGCGUGGGCGAUGAAGGCCUUAGGGUUGUAAAGCCCUUUCGGCGGGGAAGAUAAUGACGGUACCCGCAGAAGAAGCCCCGGCUAACUUCGUGCCAGCCGCCGCGGUAAUAC
rnacentral:rRNA from 1 species